AAAGUGUUAUUUGACUGGAGUGAGGUCUCAUGUCUGCUUAUGCGGUGGCUCGCUGCUCAGAACAGGGAACCAUUGGAGAUACUCAUUACUCUUUGAAGGCUUACAGUGGAAUGAAUUCAAAUACGACUUAUUUGAGGAAUUGAAGUUGACUUUAUGGAGCUGAUAAGAAUCUUCUUGGAGAAAAAAAGACUGGGUAUAUUUUCAAUAUGCUUUCCUUUUAAGGUCCCUCACCUGUGGAAAGUAAAGAAUGUCACUUUCUGACAGGCUCAGGAACCUCAAGUUAUGUAGGGAUCUCAAGAAGAUGGGGGAAUUCACCCAGUUCAUACAGGUGAAAUUGCUGUUGCAAAGAUUAUGAAUAUGAGAGAAGUCCAGCAUGGCUGACUUCAUCUCGUGUCUGGCCUCAGGCUGGCUGCCCUUGCUCACUCUUGGGCAUAGGCCAAGCUAGCCAUGGGAGGAAUUUAGUUUAUAGUUUAACUUUGAAGCACGGAUGAUAAUAGUCUCUCCCUAAAAUGAACCCCUUCCUUGCUCAGGGACUGAAACUACCUUUGUAUGACAAAUGAAAGCCCACAAGAUUAAGAUUAUGAGAGGGGCCUGAAUUCUGCUAAAAUGCAGGUGUAGCUGACUGAUAACAAGUCAUUGUCCCACAGCUUGCCUUUCUAUAAUCUCUUGCUUCUCAGGAGUCACAUGGCCAGAGGUCCUGAGAUUUCCAGUCCUGUGACCCCCACCCAGAGAUGGACUUAGUGCAUGAGGACCAUUUUCCACACCCCUAUGAUUUCAUCCUCAAACAAUCAGCAGCAACCAUUCCCUAGCCCCCUGCCUUCCAAAUUAUCCAUAAAAAUCCUAGCCUCUGAGUUAUUAGGGAGAUUGAUUAAUAAUCCCAGUCCUACCCCUUGGGUUGCUCUGAUUUAAUUAAACCUUCUCUACUGCAAUACCACGGACUCAGUAAAUUGGUUUUGUCUGUGCAAUGGGCAAGAAGAACAUGUUGCAUGGUUAUACAGGUACUACAAGCACAGUCUGAUGGCAAAUUAUUGGUUUUGCUUCCUGCCCUUGAUGUUUCUAAACAUCUAGUCCAAAAUUACUUGUGAAAGGUCCAGCAAAGCCAAUUUUAAAAGAGGCUAUAUGGCCAAUCACUAUUCUUUCUACACAUUAUUGCAAAUAAUCAGGCCACGGCUGGGCACGGUGGCUCAUGCCUGCAAUCCCAGCACUUUGGGAGGCUGAGGCAGGAUCACCUGAAAUCAGGAGUUCAAGACCAGCCUAGGCAACAUGAUAAAACCCUGUCUCUACUAAAAAUACAAAAUUAGCCAGGCAUGGUGGCAUGCACCUGUAAUCCCAGCUACUUGGGAGACUGAGGGAGGAGAAUCACUUGAACCUGGGAGGCAGAGAUUGCAGUGAGCUGAGAUCACACCACUGCACUCCAGCCUGGGCAAUAGAGUGAGACUUUGUCUCAAAUAAUAAUAAUAAUAAUCAGACCAAGUAUAAUGAAAUUAAAAUUUAUUUUGCAAAUAAAUUGGUCCUACUACAAUUUAUCCUUCAUAGAAAUGUGGAAACUGAAGAUAAAAAAAAUUAGGUUUCAGAAGAAAACUAUACUACACCUGUUAUUAGAUUCUAGCCCUAAACAUUGUUUUUGAGGUUUUUAUUAUUUACCUGCAAUUUGGUCUAAAUUCUGAAUUAUUUCCUGACUACAAGUAUCCAAGGAAUAAAUGGGUUUUCUUUUUCUUUAUGAUAGUUUUAGUUGGCUUCUAAUGCAACAACAAUUUUUAUUGUAAUCCUGUGUGCAUUCUAUUCCUACUAUUCAAAUUAUUAAUGUUAUAGAUCUUUCAUUGUAGUACUUCUGAAUUAACCAAAAUCACAGUAUUCUGAAGAUGAUUCUACAAAGCCUGCUGUUUCUACAAAGGCUGCUGAUGAUUUCUACAAAGCCUGCUGUAGUGUUGCUGUGGCCUCUGCUUAAAAAAGUAGAAAACACAUUGAUGCAGCAUGUUCACCCCAACCUCCCUGCCUAAAGGCUCAGGGACCAUCUUGGAAGAGGAAGGCGCGUGAGAUUGUAAGAGCCGAAUUAGGGGGAUGGAGUGUGGAGAAUAAGGACACUUCAUCUUGGAUGCUCACCUGCCAAAUUGACUUCUGAUGAAAGCCAGCUCCAGAAAUGUGCCUACAGUUACUACUUUCACCUAAACCCUGCCCUUAGUCAAAUCCUUCUCUUCUUCUAAGCAAUCAACUUCAAUUCCUUGUAUAACCCACAGUAUAAAAGGGCUUUUAUACCAUUCUAUCCUAUUGCAUGUAAGCCUUGGGUCUGGGAGGUAACAGUGUGGGAUUCCACCAUCUCAUCUCCCUGCCACCCAAACAUGCCUGCUCUUCUUUAAGCAAUAUUAAAUGUUUGUACUUCAGAAA
rnacentral:lncRNA from 1 species